rnacentral:lncRNA from 1 species
UGACCCCAUCCCGUGACAGUGUGGUGUGCAGAUGGAUCCCUAGCCGUCGCAUCUGGUGAACCCGCACAUAAUAACUCUUUUGACCUGUUUCCUAACCUGACUUUCGGCUCAUCUUUCCUAAAUCGUUAUCUUUAUGUUUAAUGUUUUCCGCCCAGAACUGGCAGCACGGUGGCGGUGGAGUGAGGAAACAGUCAAACAGAAGAGACACAAGUGGAGGAGUGGAAUAUUGACGUAUGCUUUGAUUCCAUCAGUUUGAUUUUUUAUGUUUCUUUGGCUUUCUAUUUUGUUCCACUUUGAAAGCAGACCAUUAUACUAGAUGUUUCAAAUGAAUAUCAUGUUAUAAAAGCAGCAACAAUUCACCUAACUUAGCACACACAAUAUGAAAUGUAUCUAAUAAUUUUUUUAUCUUUUGGCAGCUUG